UACGUAGGAUGCAAGCAUUGUCCGGAUUUAUUGGGUUUAAAGGGUGCGUAGGCGGCCUAUUAAGUUAGUGGUGAAAACGUUCGGCUUAACCGGAUACCCGCCAUUGAUACUGAUAGACUUGAGUGCGACAGAGGGUGUUGGAAUGUGUGGUGUAGCGGUGAAAUGCUUAGAUAUCACGCAGAACACCAAUUGCGAAGGCAUAUGCCUAUGUCGUAACUGACGCUGAGGCAAGAAAGCGAGGGGAGCAAACAGG
rnacentral:rRNA from 1 species